CCUACGGGAGGCAGCAGUGGGGAAUAUUGCGCAAUGGGCGAAAGCCUGACGCAGCGAAGCCGCGUGAGGGAUGAAGGUCUUCGGAUCGUAAACCUCUGUCAGCAGGGAAGAACGGUCACUGUGCUAAUCAGCAGUGAAUUGACGGUACCUGCAAAGGAAGCACCGGCUAACUCCGUGCCAGCAGCCGCGGUAAUACGGAGGGUGCGAGCGUUAAGCGGAAUUACUGGGCGUAAAGCGCUCGUAGGCGGUAUGUCAAGUCAAGGGUGAAAUCCCCGCGCUCAACGUUGUAACUGCCUUUGAAACUGGCAAACUGGAGUGUGUGAGAGGAUAGUGGAAUUCCAGGUGUAGGCGUGAAAUCCGUAGAUAUCUGGAGGAACAUCAGUGGCGAAGGCGACUAUCUGGCACAUAACUGACGCUGAGGAGCGAAAGCGUGGGUAGCAAACAGGAGUAGAUACCCUGGUAGUC
rnacentral:rRNA from 1 species